UCCUCGGUAGCUCAACGGUGGAGCAUCCGGCUGUUAACCGGAGGGUUGUAGGUUCGAAUCCUACCCGGGGAGC
rnacentral:tRNA from 1 species